rnacentral:rRNA from 1 species
CCUACGGGUGGCUGCAGUGGGGAAUAUUGGACAAUGGGGGGAACCCUGAUCCAGCCAUGCCGCGUGUGUGAAGAAGGCCCUCGGGUUGUAAAGCACUUUCAGUGAGGAAGAACGCCUGGUGGUUAAUACCCAUCAGGAAAGACAUCACUCACAGAAGAAGCACCGGCUAACUCCGUGCCCGCAGCCGCGGUAAUACGGAGGGUGCGAGCGUUAAUCGGAAUUACUGGGCGUAAAGCGCGCGUAGGUGGCUUGAUAAGCCGGUUGUGAAAGCCCCGGGCUCAACCUGGGAACGGCAUCCGGAACUGUCAAGCUAGAGUGCAGGAGAGGAAGGUAGAAUUCCCGGUGUAGCGGUGAAAUGCGUAGAGAUCGGGAGGAAUACCAGUGGCGAAGGCGGCCUUCUGGACUGACACUGACACUGAGGUGCGAAAGCGUGGGUAGCAAACAGGAUUAGAUACCCGUGUAGUC